GCCGUGUGAACGAGGGAAGCGCCUCGGAUGCGCCAAAAUUGACAGGGAACUGUAUAAGCGCUCAGGGUUCUCACCAAUAACAACUGAUGAAUUUUCUGUACUGUGGAUUCAGUCAGAUGAUUGGCAAAGAUGCUGACAGAGAAUUCUAUCUAGACUGAAUGAAGCAAUGAGUGGAUUUAAGUAUUUAAGUUGCCCUUUGAGACGCAUUCCUCAUCGCAUGAGUACAGCCAUAAAACAGGAGAGAAGAGAGAAGUAACUCUGAUUUUUGUAAAAACAAAUAUUUAAAAAUUUUAAAAGGAAACCCUGAAGCCCUUUUGUAAUUAAUGAGAUGAAAGAGUCUUAACCUAAUAAGACUAGAUCCCUCAUGUUUUAUACCAGGGUUAAAAUUGCUACAGAAUUCCUGGAACAAUUUCCACACUAUUUCCUAUCCUACAUUUAAUGUUUUGCUUUCUGAUAUAAUUUAGUAAAAAGGCAACAGUGAAGGUAUAACUGUCUCAAAUAAAAAAUAUUACAGAAAUUAAAUUAAGAUGCUU